GGGCCCGUAGCUCAGUUGGUUAGAGCAGUGGACUCAUAAUCCAUUGGUCGAAGGUUCGAGUCCUUCUGGGCCCA
rnacentral:tRNA from 1 species